GUCUACAACCAUACUACAUUGAACACAUCCAAUCUUAUCUGAUCUUAGAGGCUAAGCAAGGUCAGGCAUGGUUAGUACUUAAAUGGGACAAGGAAAUUUCUUCCCACCAUCAUGCAAAAGUCCCAUGCUUACU
rnacentral:rRNA from 1 species